AUCUGAUGAAAUCUAACAUUUUCCUGCUUAUGCAAGGGGUCGGACUCAAUGAUCUAUUGAAGUCCCUUCCGACCCUAACAUCUAUGAAUCUAUGAAUCUAUGUGU